UGUGUUGCUUGCAAGGGCGUAUGGUGGAUGCCUUGGCAGACAGGACCGAUGAAGGACGUUUGAGGCUGCGAUAUGCCUCGGGGAGCCGCCAACAGGGCUUUGAUCCGAGGAUUUCCGAAUGGGGGAACCCACCGACCGUCAUGGGUCGGUACCGGCUUCGGCCGGGGGGUACGCAGGGAAGUGAAACAUCUCAGUACCUGCAGGAAAGGAUAUUCCGUGAGUAGUGGCGAGCGAAAGCGGAUGAUGGCCAAACCUUGCGCGUGUGAUACCCGUCGGGGGUUGCGCGCGGGGUGUUGCGGGAUCGCGUGCGCCGGCUCCGACGGGCCGGCCGGCAGUUGCAGAAAACCAUGUGUCAGGGGAACCGGGUUGAAUACCGGGCCGCAGAGGGUGAGGGCCCCGUACCUGAACGCGCAUGGUCUGCCGAUCGCGUCUCCCAAGUAGCACGGGUCCCGUGGAACCCCGUGCGAAUCCGCCCAGACCGUUGGGUAAGCCUGAAUAUUCCUGUCUGACCGAUAGCGAACGAGUACCGUGAGGGAAAGGUGAAAAGUACCCCGGGAGGGGAGUGAAACAGUCUCUGAAACCGUGCGCCUACAAUCCGUCGGAGCCCUUUUGUGGGGUGACGGCGUGCCUAUCGAAAAAUGAGUCUGCGAGUCAGUGGCAUGUGGCGAGCAUAACCCGUGUGGGGUAUGCGUAGCGAAGGCGAGUCUUAAAAGGCGUUUGAGUCGCGUGUCCUGGACCCGAAGCGGGAUGAUCUAGCCCUGAGCAGGUUGAAGCGCGGGUAAGACCGCGUGGAGGACCGAACCCACCUGGGUUGAAAACCGGGGGGAUGACUUGGGGCUAGGGGUGAAAGGCCAAUCAAAUUCCGUGAUAGCUGGUUCUCUCCGAAAUGCAUUUGGGUGCAGCGUCGGGUCAUUACGUCCCGGGGGUAGAGCUACUGGAUGCUUGCGGGCCCGUAUCGGGUACCAACAGCAACCAAACUCCGAAUACCGGUGACGCGUAUCCCGGCAGUGAGUCGGCGGGGGAUAAGCUUCGUCGUCGAAAGGGAAACAGCCCAGACCGUCGUCUAAGGUCCCGAAGCGUGUGCUAAGUGGGAAAGGAUGUGGAGUCGCAUAGACAGCCAGGAGGUUGGCUCAGAAGCAGCCACCCUUGAAAGAGUGCGUAACAGCUCACUGGUCUAGUGGUUCCGCGCCGACAAUGUAGCGGGGCUCAAGCACACCACCGAAGACGCGGCAGUAUUUUGUACUGGGUAGGAGAGCGUCCCAUGAGGGGCGAAGCGGCCGUGUGAACGCGCCGUGGACUUCAUGGGAGUGAGAAUGCAGACAUGAGUAGCGAGAGACGGGUGAAGAUCCCGUCCGCUGGAUGACCAAGGGUUCCAGGGCCACGUUCAUCGUCCCUGGGUGAGUCGGGUCCUAAGGCGAGGCCGACAGGCGUAGUCGAAUGGAUGAACGGGUCGAUAUUCCCGUACCGGCUUUCAGCCGCCAAAACCGAGGCUUGGAGUACUAACCUCCGGGUCCGGGCUUACUGCUCCUUCGGGGGCGGGAUGCCCUGGCCUGUUGGGACCGAUCCUUGUAGUAGGUCAGCGCAGGAGUGACGCAGAAGGGUAGCCGGCCGCGGAGGUGGUCUUCCGUGGUCAAGCACGCAGGGCGUGGGACAGGCAAAUCCGUCCCGCAUGGGUCCGAGGUGCGAUGAUGGGGGCCUUAUGGCCCGAUAUCCGGUGAUCCCGGCUGCCGAGAAAAGCUUCGGCGUCAGGCUCAAAGCCGCCCGUACCCCAAACCGACACUGGUGGUCAGGUAGAGAAUACCAAAGCGAUCGAGCGAAUCCUGGUCAAGGAACUCGGCAAAUCACUCCCGUUCCUUCGGUUUAAGGGAGACCCCCGAUGGUGAACACACUUGCUGUGGGAGCUUUUGGGGGUGGCACAGACCAGGGGGUAGCGACUGUUUACCAAAAACACAGGUGCAUGCGAAGGCGCAAGCCGCUGUAUAUGCACUGACGCCUGCCCGGUGCCGGAAGGUUAAGAGGAUCCGUCAGCCUUCGGGUGAAGCGGUGAAUUCAAGCCCCGGUAAACGGCGGUGGUAACUAUAACCAUCCUAAGGUAGCGAAAUUCCUUGUCGGGUAAGUUCCGACCUGCACGAAUGGCGUAACGACUUCCCCACUGUCUCGACCAGGAGCUCGGC
rnacentral:rRNA from 1 species